rnacentral:rRNA from 1 species
AGAGACAGCAGUCGCCACGGGAAUACAGAGGGUGCGAGCGUUAAUCGGAUUUACUGGGCGUAAAGCGUGCGUAGGCGGCUUCUUAAGUCGGAUGUGAAAUCCCUGAGCUUAACUUAGGAAUUGCAUUCGAUACUGGGAAGCUAGAGUAUGGGAGAGGAUGGUAGAAUUCCAGGUGUAGCGGUGAAAUGCGUAGAGAUCUGGAGGAAUACCGAUGGCGAAGGCAGCCAUCUGGCCUAAUACUGACGCUGAGGUACGAAAGCAUGGGGAGCAAACAGGAUUAGAUACCCGAGUAGUCCCUGUCUCUUAUAC